GAUGAACGCUGGCGGCGUGCCUAACACAUGCAAGUCGAGCGAUUCUCUUCGGAGAAGAGCGGCGGACGGGUGAGUAACGCGUGGGUAACCUGCCCUGUACACACGGAUAACAUACCGAAAGGUAUGCUAAUACGAGAUAAUAUACUUUUAUCGCAUGGUAGAAGUAUCAAAGCUUUUGCGGUACAGGAUGGACCCGCGUCUGAUUAGCUAGUUGGUAAGGUAACGGCUUACCAAGGCGACGAUCAGUAGCCGACCUGAGAGGGUGAUCGGCCACAUUGGAACUGAGACACGGUCCAAACUCCUACGGGAGGCAGCAGUGGGGAAUAUUGCACAAUGGGCGAAAGCCUGAUGCAGCAACGCCGCGUGAGCGAUGAAGGCCUUCGGGUCGUAAAGCUCUGUCCUCAAGGAAGGUAAUGACGGUACUUGAGGAGGAAGCCCCGGCUAACUUCGUGCCAGCAGCCGCGGUAAAAC
rnacentral:rRNA from 1 species